UUUAUAAUCAAUCGUUUUGUCAAUUAAUUGUGAAUGCAUUGACUGAUAAAUUGUUGAUCAAAGUUUUCAAUUUUUACCAAAAAACAUGCACAUUGUUGGAGGUCAAGUCGAUGACAACAUUCUGGUGGAUUUGCAUUGUAAAUUGACAAAAAGAUGUAGAAAAAAGUGGCCAGUAAUUAUUUGAGGAACAAGAUGACCGACACAAAGACUGAACAAUAAAUUAGCAAAUGAUGUUAUACAACUGUUGUUAAAACCAAGAUGAAAAAUGAUUUAUCCAGUUGAGUGUGAUUGGUUGAACAAUCAAGAUGAAGUAGAGUUAAAAAAGAGUUAAUAAAUGUAGUGGAACAGUUUUGAUAUAACUGGUAUUGUUCUGAGAGUAAGGUGUGAUGAUACAAAACGAUAAUUUCAAAAAUAAGUAUCAAGUUUUAAAAAAAAUCCAAGUGUUGGAAUUGAUGAUGAGUUACAAGGUAUGCCUUGAUUUACCUUCGUUAAAAUUUAAUAUAAAACUCGUCUGAUCAGAAAAUUAUUUAUGAACAUAA